rnacentral:lncRNA from 1 species
AAUUUUUUUGCAAUGGGUGGUAGAUCUAGGUUCGAUUUUUGCUCUUCAAGAUGGAUUUUCACACUAUCAAGAUGGAUCUUUGCACAAAAUAACUAGGAGAGUAUAAACAAACCUCGAAAAGGUAGGUUAUCUCCAUAUUUGCUCUUGUUCUUCAUGAUCUUUGAGCUCUUAUGAUUUUUGUUGUACUCACUUUUCUCUCUUGAUUUCUUUGAUGGAUGAUCGAUUUGGGUUCAUUUUGAUGGAUCUCUAUAAGAAGAAACAAUAGAAGAGUGCAAACUUUGAAAACGUAGGUUAACUCUCUUUUUAGCUUUUGUUCUUCGUGUUUUUCGGGUUCUUCGAGAUUUUUGGGUUCACAUCCCACAUGGACUUUUUCAUGUUCUUCGGGUGUUUUGUGUUCACAUCCCACAGGGUUUUUUUUUGUGUUCUUCAUGUUUUUUGGGUUUUUUAUGUUCACAUCCCACGGGGACGAACGCAAGCUGUGUCAGGUAAGUUUGUAUCAUUGUUCAACACGAACGUUUGUAUCACUUACUGGUACAAAUGUUUUGUUCAAGUCCAAACAGAACGAACGUAGGUCGUUGUAAUACUUUUGUUUCAUAGGCCAAUUUACGACCCGAAAGAACGAACGUAUAGCAUGGAAAAUACGUUUGUAUUGAUAAGACGUACAUACGUAAAUAUUAUUCAUUUGAACUUAUGCCUUUAUAUCUAAUAAGUUUUAAUACUUUUUUCUUAUUGCAGGAGCACAUUAUAAAGAUGAUGUGUUGUGUUCAAAAAAUUGUAGAUGGUUUUUUGACGAAUGUACAUAUUGUAAUAUUUUAUUUAUGAAUUUAUGAUUUUAUUAAUCAAUUUUGAUGAUUUUCAUUGUUU